rnacentral:sRNA from 1 species
GCUUAUCAAACAAGAGGUGGUGUAUCGU